AAGUCGUAACAAGGUUUCCGUAGGUGAACCUGCGGAAGGAUCAUUAACGAGUUAGGGUCUCUCUGGCCCGACCUCCCAACCCUUUGUCUACUUGACCAUCGUUGUUUCGGCGAGCCCGUCCUCACGGACCGCCGGAGGGAUCUUUACUGGCCCUUUGGUCCGCGCUCGUCGGUAGCCCAACCUUUAAAAUCUUUAACUAAACGUGCCUUAAUCUAAGUACAAUUAUUAAAUAAAAGCAAAACUUUCAACAACGGAUCUCUUGGUUCCGGCAUCGAUGAAGAACGCAGCGAAAUGCGAUAAGUAAUGCGAAUUGCAGAAUUCCAGUGAGUCAUCGAAUCUUUGAACGCACAUUGCGCCCUUUGGUAUUCCGAAGGGCAUGCCUGUUCGAGCGUCAUUAUCACCCCUCAAGCCCUCGGCUUGGUGUUGGACGGUUUGGUGGAGGCCCCCUCGGGGGCUCCUGCCCCUCCCAAAGACAAUGACGGCGGCCUCGUUGGACCCCCGGUACACUGAGUUCUUCACGGGACACGUAUCGGACACAUGGGUUUACGGGACACGGUCUGCCUCCCCUCAGGGAGAAUCUUUCUAAGGUUGACCUCGGAUCAGGUAGGGAUACCCGCUGAACUUAA
rnacentral:rRNA from 1 species